AUAUUCUGCAGCACUGUAGAAUAUAUAAAACAAGACGAUUAAUUCUGAUAAGUUGACAUACAGGAACACAACAUCACAAGCAGCAUCCCACACAAGCAACCCCACAAGUACUUGUAAGAUUGCCCAUGUGAGGGGCUCUGCUUGUGAUGUCAUCUGUGGUGGAAGUAUGUAAUAAAAUUUGCUUUAUUUCUUUAUUUUUUAAUUUUAAUGGGGGGGGAGGCCGGCCAGCAAGGGUUAUUCCAUCUAAAAAUAGCAUUUUAUUAAAACACUGUUUCUGGUUGGAUUAACCCCUUAAAACUAAAUUUGGUGUGAAUUUGGUGUGACUCUCACAUAAUAAUUCAGGGCGCACAUAUCUGUCUGAGAGACACACAAAGAAGGGGGAGAAGAGUAGUGGUGGCCAAAUAAACUUGCAUCAUAAUGGUGCAUCUUGAUCUCCUAUU